rnacentral:rRNA from 1 species
AACAAACGCUGGCGGCGUGCCUAACACAUGCAAGUCGUACGAGAAAGUCGGCUUCGGCCGAUGAGUACAGUGGCGCACGGGUGAGUAGCGCGUGGGUAAUCUGCCCCUCGGUCAGGAAUAACCCGCCGAAAGGCGGGCUAAUACCCGAUAACACUGACGCUCUGCGGAGUGUCUUUCAAAGAAGGCCUCUGUUUACAAGCUUUCGCCGGAGGAUGAGCCCGCGUACCAUUAGCUAGUUGGCAGGGUAAUGGCCUACCAAGGCAACGAUGGUUAGCUGGUCUGAGAGGAUGGCCAGCCACACUGGAACUGAGACACGGUCCAGAAUCCUACGGGAGGCAGCAGUGAGGAAUCUUGCGCAAUGGGGGAAACCCUGACGUAGCAACGCCGCGUGAGUGAGGAAGGCUUUCGGGUCGUAAAGCUCUGUCAGAUGGGAAGAAAUGGAUGGAAGCCAAUACCUUUCAUUCUUGACGGUACCAUCAGAGGAAGCACCGGCUAACUCCGUGCCAGCAGCCGCAGUAAUAC